rnacentral:rRNA from 1 species
GAUGAACGCUGGCGGCGUGCCUAAUACAUGCAAGUCGAGCGAACAGACGAGGAGCUUGCUCCUCUGACGUUAGCGGCGGACGGGUGAGUAACACGUGGAUAACCUACCUAUAAGACUGGGAUAACUCCGGGAAACCGGAGCUAAUACCGGAUAAUAUAUUGAACCGCAUGGUUCAAUAGUGAAAGACGGUUUUGCUGUCACUUAUAGAUGGAUCCGCGCCGCAUUAGCUAGUUGGUAAGGUAACGGCUUACCAAGGCAACGAUGCGUAGCCGACCUGAGAGGGUGGUCGGCCACACUGGAACUGAGACACGGUCCAGACUCCUACGGGAGGCAGCAGUAGGGAAUCUUCCGCAAUGGGCGAAAGCCUGACGGAGCAACGCCGCGUGAGUGAUGAAGGUCUUCGGAUCGUAAAACUCUGUUAUUAGGGAAGAACAAAUGUGUAAGUAACUAUGCACGUCUUGACGGUACCUAAUCAGAAAGCCACGGCUAACUACGUG